rnacentral:ncRNA from 1 species
UAUUGGGGAUGAAGUUCUCCCAAGGGAAAAACCCUAAACCGCAUAUUUGCUGAUGACUUCUGCGUUU